AACCCAGUUGGAGGAUGGCUCGGCUCGAGAGCUGAUGAAGGCCGUGACAAGCUGCGAUAAGCCAUGGGGAGGCGCACGAAUGCCUUGGAUCCAUGGAUCGCCGAAUUGGACCUCCUGACCGCAAGGUCACUCGUUCAUACGAGAGGGAACCCCCCGAAUUGAAGCAUCUUAGUAGGGGGAGGAAAAGAAAUCAAAGAGAUUCCGUGAGUAGUGGCGAAUGAAAACGGAAUAGGACAAACCGAACUCCUGUUGGAAACAUCAGGAGGAUGUGGUGUUAGGGCCGUCUCUGCCUAAGUCUGCGAAGAGGAAGUCGUCUGGAAUGGCGCGUCCAUAGAGGGUGAGAGCCCCGUACUCGUAGUAGAUAUGGUGACAUGACGGAUCCCAGAGUAGCGUGCGCUGGAUAUCGCGCGUGAAUGCGGGACGCAGAAAGUUCCAAUCCUAAAUACUCCUCGAGACCGAUAGUGAAGCAGUAGCGUGAGUGAAAGCUGAAAAGAAUCUCGGAAGGGAAUUGAAAAGACCCUGAAACCAGCUGGGGACAGGCUGAUAUGGCGUGAAAGCGAGAAAGUCAUCUUUUAGAUGAUUAGCAGCGUCAUAUCGUGCGUUUUGAAUAAUGCCCCUGGGAGUCUUGAUCAUUGGCGAGGUUAAGCUGGAAGCAGCGAAGCCGUAGAGAAAUCGACAUGUCCGCAGCUCGUUUCGGCGAGUGAGGGACGAGGUGUGCUCGCCUGGAGUCAAUGGUGGAGGACUUGAAGCCCGUCGAUCUAUGCCUGAGCAGUCUGAAGCCCGAUGAAAAUUGGGUGGAGGGACGAACCGGUGCUGAUGUGCAAAUCGCUCGGAAGACUUGGGUAUAGGGGUGAAAGUCCAAUCGAGAUGGGCAAUAGCAAGUUCCGCGCGAGACUACUCGCAGGUAGACGUCGGCGGAGGUAGAACAUGAUGUAGAGCACUGAUUGGGUGUUUAGGGGGAGCAAUCCCUCGGCAUCCUGCCAAACUCCGAAUUUGUGUUCACCGUAGAAGUCGGCAGUGAGCCGCGGUGGGUAAGCUACCGCGACGAAAGGUGAAAAAACCAGCCUGGUGUUAAGGUCCCUAAAUUCCGGUUGAGUGUUAACUCAAAGGACAUCUGUGGGCGAAAACAACCAGAAGGUGGGCUUAGAGGCAGCCAUCCUUUGAAGAGUUCGUAACAGAUCACUGGUCUAGUUCGCAGGUUCCGAAAAGGGACGGGGCUAAACCGGAUACCGAUACACCAGCCCUCCGAAAGGAGAUGGGAUAGCGCGGCGUGGUGCGUGGGCAGAAGCGAGGUCGUGAGAUCUCGUGGACCGCGUUCCAACGAGAAUCCAGGGAAUAGUAGCAGCGUAGUGUGGUGAGAAUCCGCACCAUCGAAGGGGCUAGGGUUCCUCGGCAAUGUUCGUCAGCCGAGGGUUAGCCGGUCCUAAGGUGGUCCUUAAUCGAGGCCAUCGAAAGGGAAGGACGUUAAUAUUCGUCCGCCUCCAUCGCAAUCUAUGGUGACGGCUUGGGCAGAACCAUUGAGUCAAGUCAGGCUCUUUGGAAACAACUUCUGGAGUACUGUCAUAGUGAGAAGGAAGGAAAGUCCCAGGCCCCAUGAAAAGCCGCGAUGAGACCGUACCGAGAACUGACACAGGUGCCCCUGGGUGAGAAGCCUAAGAUGUAUCGGGAGAACUAACGCGAGGGAACUCGGCAAAAUCGCUCCGUAACUUCGGGAGAAGGAGUGCCAGCUCAGGAAUGAGCUGGUCGCAGUGACUAGGGGACUGCAACUGUUUAAUAAAAACAUAGCAGACUGCCAGAUCGAAAGGUUGUGUAUAGUCUGUGAAUCCUGCUCAGUGCUGGUCGCUGAAACCAGGUUUCAACCUGGCGAAGGCCCAGUAAACAGCGGGGGUAACUAUGACCCUCUUAAGGUAGCGUAAUACCUUGUCGCUUAAUUGGCGACUUGCAUGAAUGGCGCAAUGACGGUCCCACUGUCCCCGCGUUAGACCCGGUGAAAUUGACAAUACUGGUGCACAGUCCAGUACCCUCAACCUGCAAGCGAAGACCCCGUAGAGCUUUACUGCAGCCUGUCGUUGUGUGGUCGCUUUCCAUGUGCUGAGUAGGUGGGAGAUGCUGAUCUCUUGAACGCCAGUUCGAGAGGGAGUCAGUCAGAGAGACACCACCCUUGGAAAGUAACCUCGCUCACUUCUUGAAGGACACCGAUAGGUGGGCAGUUUGGGUGGGGCGCCACGCGCUCAAAAAGAUAACAAGCGCGCCCAAAGGUCAGCUUAGGUGGUUCAGACUCCACCGUCAACUGUAAGGGGAAAAGCUGGCUUGACGUGGUUCCGAACAAUAAGGAUCCACGAUGCGAAAGCAGGGCCUAACGAACCUACCAGCCUCAUGUCUGGGGGCGGUAGAUAACAGAAAAGUUACCUCGGGGAUAAUUGAGUUGUCACCAGCAAGAGCUCAUAUCGACCUGGUGGCUUGCUACUUCGAUGUCGUCUCUUCCUAUCCUGGGUCUGCAGCAGGACCCAAGGGUGGGGUUGUUCGCCCAUUAAAAGGGAUCGUGAGAUGUGUUUAGACUGUCGUGAGACAGGUUUGUUGCUUGGCGGUAGAAGCGUGUAAGAU
rnacentral:rRNA from 1 species